AAAAACAUGUCUUUUUGGUAAUAAUUUAAAGUCUAAUCUGCCCACUGAUUUAAAUUAAAGGGCUGCAGUAUAUUGACUGUACAAAGGUAGCAUAAUCAUUAGUUUUUUAAUUGAAAACUUGUAUGAAGGAUUUGAUGAAAUAUAAACUGUCUCUUAUUUAAAAUUAAAAAUUUAUUUUUUAGUUAAAAAGCUAAAAUAAUUUUAAAAGACGAGAAGACCCUAUAGAGUUUUAUAUUAAAUUAUUUUAUAAUUAUUUAUAUAAUUAAAAAUUAAAAAUGAAUUUAAUAUUUUAUUGGGGUGAUAGAAAAAUUAAAAAAACUUUUUUUAAAUUAUUAACAUAGAUAUAUGAAUAAAUGAUCCAUAAUUAAUGAUUAUAAGAAAAAAUUACCUUAGGGAUAACAGCGUAAUAUUUUUUUUUAGUUCAUAUAAAAAAAAAAGUUUGCGACCUCGAUGUUGGAUUAAGAUAAAAUUUAAAUGCAAAAGUUUAAAAGUUUUGAUCUGUUCGAUCAUUAAAAUCUUACAUGAUCUGAGU
rnacentral:rRNA from 1 species